UCUUGACAUCCGCUAGAGGCGCUUGCGUGCUUCUCACUGUGAAAAUCGCAGUGAGAAGACGCCAGUGUCCAUAGGAAAGCAUUGUGAAUGCUUUCCUAUGGACUGGCUGAAUGCGCUCGCGGGUCCUGCCGGGAAUGCGCAUUCAGCCGAAGAGGAGGAGAAGAGGGAGGAGAGGAGGAGGAGAGUUCCCUGUCUGGCACUGGAGAAAGA